CUGACGCUGAUGAACGAAAGCGUAGGUAGCCAACAGGAUUAGAUACCCUGGUAGUCUACGCCGUAAACGAUGGUUACUAGCUGUUCGUCACGCCUUUGGCGAGAUGAGUGGUUAAGCGAAAGUGAUAAGUAACCCACCUGGGGAGUACGUUUGCAAGAAUGAAACUCAAAGGAAUUGACGGGGGCCCGCACAAGCGGUGGAGCAUGUGGUUUAAUUCGAUGAUACGCGAGGAACCUUACCAAGGCUUAAAUGCAUAUUGACAUCCCGGGAAACCGGGACUUCUUCGGACAAUUUGCAAGGUGCUGCAUGGUUGUCGUCAGCUCGUGCCGUGAGGUGUCAGGUUAAGUCCUAUAACGAGCGCAACCCCUGUGGUUAGUUACCAGCAUGUAAUGAUGGGGACUCUAGCCAGACUGCCGGUGCAAACCGUGAGGAAGGUGGGGAUGACGUCAAAUCAUCACGGCCCUUACGCCUUGGGCUACACACGUGCUACAAUGGUAUAUACAAUGAGCAGCCAUCUGGUGACAGAGCGCUAAUCUAUAAAGUAUAUCACAGUUCGAAUCGGAGUCUGCAACUCGACUCUGUGAAGCUGGAAUCGCUAGUAAUCGCACAUCAGCCAUGGUGCGGUGAAUACGUUCCCGGGCCUUGUACACACCGCCCGUCAAGCCAUGGAAGCCGGGAGUGCCUGAAGUCCGUAGCCGAAAGGAGCGGCCUAGGGUAAAACUGGUAACUGGGGCUAAGUCGUAACAAGGUA
rnacentral:rRNA from 1 species